GCUCAGAAAAUGGAUGGAUGUUUUGAUAAACGUCUUCUUGAGGCUACUUGGCAAACACGCAUAUAAACAUAAAAUAAACAUUCCACGUGUCAUGUAAUGGGUUCGUAACGUGUCAUGCAAUGCAUGCAAUGGGUUCAGUCUGCUUUGAGAAAGGUGUGUAUAAAUAAACAAAGGAGUGGCAUCUUUACUGGCGGACCUUCACGAAAAAAGGGGAAGUGAGAGAAGCUAGAGGCAAAGGCGAAGAGGUGGCAAGAUUAGUUAGUUUAUAGAAUACUGUACUUGUGUUACACGAGGCAGGUGGCGACAAGAGCAAGGAGAAGGCCACUCAACACAAAUUCAGAAGUCAAGAAGUUUGGUUUCUUUAGUAAGGUUUUUUUUUAUGGUUAAUGACUUCACCUCUUGCUACAAUGAUAUUACAGGAGUUACAUCUGACACAAUCCAAUUAGAUCCAAUAAAAGACCUGCAUAAGACUUAAAUACGGCUAUGACCUAAAAUUCCUAUCACAGUAUAAAUUGAAUCCCGAAAGAACACAAAACUCAUUACGCCCCGUGUUAAAACGCCGCCCAGUGACACACUUGGGAGUCCGGCAUGAGUCACCCCGUCCACCACUGUAUAAGAACUUGAGCUGCCCAUUGACGUAGUUGCAUGAUUGGUCGGCAGUCACAUUAUGUCCCCACCAAUGAGUGUAAAUUGGCUUGUGUACUUAUUUUACAAUUAGAGUCCACAAUAACUAAUAACAUUUUGAAAGUGAGCCUCCUAAUGUGAUUUUUUUUUUUUUUUGUAAGCUACCAUUUUUCAUAAUGCAUGUACACACUGCUAUCUACAAUAGUGCUAUUUGAUUGACAGUUAGCAGUUGAGGGGGGCGUGGUUUCAGCACAUUCAGCGGCCACGUUUGAGAGAGGAGAAAAUGGCUUGAUUUUUCCCCCCAUUUUGAAGCCUCAUUUUAUACAACUGCAGAUUUUUUUUAUAUUUUAUAUUCGGCAGGGUUGUUAACAACAAACUUCUCUGGGGUGUGUGAAAUUUCCAUCCAUCCAUCCAUUUUCUGUACCCCUUUAUCCUCAGUAGGGUCGUGGGCGUGCUGGAGCCUAUCCCAGCUAUCUUCGGGCGAGAGGCGGGGUACACCCUGAACUGGUCGCCAGCCAGUUGCAGGGCACAUAGAAACAAACAACCAUUUCCACUCACAUUCACACCUACGGGCAAUUUAGAGUCUUCAAUCAACCUACCAUGCAUGUUUUUGCCAUGCGUGAGGAAACCGGAGUACCCUGAGAAAACCCUCGCAGGCACGCAGAGAACAUGCACACACCACAUAGGCGGGGCCGGGAUUUGAACCACGGUCCUCAGAACUAUGAGGACCAGUGUUUCGAAAAUGUUAUAGACCCAAGGCACAUAUUUUAAAUCUCACUGCACAACACUAAACAAAUAUCACAAAAAUACUUGUCUACAGGUAUAUACUGAAAUACUGAUGUCUCAAUUUCCACACAUAUUUACUUAGUGAAGGGGAAAUCGUUGCCUGUUUAAUUGAACACAAAGCUAUUAUUCAAUUGUAUGUGGGGGAACAGUUGAAUACACAGAUUAACUGUACCAACUGCCAUCUACUGGAAGAUUAUUUAAUUGUUAUGCCUGUCACUAUAUGUUGCUGGCAUCGAGGAAUAAAGAUGUUAUUGGAAGUAAGUAUAAUCACUGGCAUUAAACUAAACAUUAACAUUUCAUGUUGAUGAUGCCUACGCGAAGAAGGUGUUUAUGGGAUUGAUGCUGCAGUUACUUUAUCUAUGUGUACAGGCAAUUGACUGUGCAUGAAAAUGUGAAGCGCAUCUUGUAAAUACAUUAAAGCAAUGAUUCCCAACCUGUGAGAAAUCAUUAAUGAUGCAGUUUCACUUUAUUUGACCCAAAAUUAUUAUUAAUUUAUUACAAAUAUAUAUUUGUUCAUUUAUCUAUGCCAGUAGCGUAUAGGGACAGGAAAACCAAUUAAAUGCUCUUCCAUUAGGUAACAGAAGUUACAAUAAACCAUCCACCUUUGGUCAUUCAUACGAAAGCUAUGUGUUCACAAACAGACAUUUAACACUCAGUCAAUUUGUGGGUUGAUUGAGAUGAAAUGAUUACUUCAAAAUUCAUACUUUUUGUGACAUUUAUGUUUGAUCAUUUGUCGUGUAAAUUUAUUAAGCAAAAUUAACUGCUCAAUACAGGUUGGCAAAUACUGCAUUAAAGAAUUCAUCCAAUGGCUGAUAAUAAACACUACGUACUUGACUAAAGUAAGAUGUGUCAAUUGCUGCGUGACACUAUUUGAGAAAAGGAACUUGUGUUUGUGUUUUAGAUUUCAAAUUUUUGUUUUAAAUUUACAUUGACGUAAACAUGGUGCCCUAACGCGAACUGCCUAAUGCGUUGUUUACAAACUAAGAAGGGUGACUGUUUCCUGAUGUAUUCGUCAAGGUCGCCACCUGGUGGUGACUAUUCUGGUACGAAUGGUAUUUUUUUUCUUAUACGCACGUCUAUUCUAUUUAUUUAUUCUUUUAAUAUGUAAGUACGGUAUGGGAAAAGGAAACUACUGAGCUAAAAUACAAAACUACAUUAUUUUGGUUCACAAAGCAUCAUUUUAAGGCAACGUAUACGUCCUUCUGUUUAUACGUACGACAUUCCAGGAGGAACGUAAAGUCGUCAUGCGGUCAAUAUGUUUUACUACUUUCAACAUGAACGUUGUUGGGGACUUUUCAGACAUAAUAAAAACAUUAUGUAGUCCCCAAUGCCGAAACCCGGGAUCGAACCAGGGACCUUUAGAUCUUCAGUCUAACGCUCUCCCAACUGAGCUAUUUCGGCACGGCUAGCAUGCUCCCAGUUACAAAAUUCAGUGCUAACACGGCCCUGAGGCCAAUUUGCUUCCUCUUGGUCAUGAAUAUACGUCAGUUACGUCGUCAACCCGAGCCCAGUUUGGAGAAAACCUACCAUAAAGGGAGAAUAAGCGUCUUACCCUGGCUGUAUAUCGACAUUCUUGGCGUUUUUCCACCACUCCACCUCCGCGCUGUGGAUUUCUGGGCCUGGUGACGUUGUUCUGAUGGUUGAACACAAGGAGACGCUAGCGCAGCACACUUAACCACAAUUCAGGAAGCAGUCUCAACAAGGGCAGUCAAGAGAAAACACACCAGAAGUCACAUGAAUGUAAAAGUGGUGAGAGGAUGAUGGAGAAGAUAGCCCAAAGCCCAAGGUGGUUUCCAAGACCCGAGUUUGUACAAAGUGUGAUGUGUUCUCUACCUAUGGAGUGACAUAAAUCUUAACUUACGGUAACACACACAAUAGAAGAGCUGAUUGAGGGCUGGUUUUGUUAUUUCAUGUCCAGCACAUUUGUAAAUGUGAGCCCUGAGGAAAUAGAGAAACACAGGUACAGUGUAUAUGUGAAGGACUCAGUGCUGAACAUGGCAGAGGCUGAUCUGCCUCAAAGUUCAGUCCAAAACAUGAGCUUAAAAUGAAACAGUAUGUGAUUUUCUUACAUGUCAGCAGUUCUCUGCUUUAAACUACACGUACUAGUUUACCUGCUGUGACUACAAAGACAUUUUAGACGGACUGUUAACAAAAUAUUGCCCUUUGAUUUCCACUGAAAAGCUGAAGUGAUACAGUGGGAGUACAGUGGCCUGGCAUACACACAUAGUUACAACAUAAUUAGCUAGCCACAUAAUUAAAGUCAUCCUAAGCCAUCCCCCCGCUUUUAAGUCUCAUUGCUUCACUGUUAUCUGCAGUAAAUAGAAAACCAACAAUUGUGUGUUCACAUUCUUUUUGUUCACAUCUUAGGGGGUCAAUGCUUUGCUCACUGCAGAACACACGCAAACACAAGACUAUCUCUCAUACUGGAUCAUAUCCUCUA